UAGGGAAUAUUGCAAAAUGGGCGAAAGCCCGAUGCAGCAACGCCGCGUGGGCGAUGAAGGCCUUCGGGUCGUAAAGCCCUUUUUGAGGGGAUGAGGAAGGACAGUACCCUCAGAAUAAGCCUCGGCUAACUACGUGCCAGCAGCCGCGGUAAAACGUAGGAGGCGAGCGUUAUCCGGAUUUACUGGGCGUAAAGCGCGUGCAGGCGGAUUGGAGAGUUGGAUGUGAAAGCUCCCGGCUGAACUGGGAGAGGUCGUUCAAUACUUCCAGUCUUGAGUGCAGUAGAGGGAAGUGGAAUUCCGGGUGUAGUGGUGAAAUGCGUAGAUAUCCGGAGGAACACCAGUGGCGAAAGCGGCUUCCUGGACUGUAACUGACGCUCAGACGCGAAAGCUAGGGUAGCAAACG
rnacentral:rRNA from 1 species